CCCAACCCCCUAGAUUAGCUGGUUAAUAGACCUAUUCAUUGCCAGAUUCAGGCCAAGCUCAACCCAAGGUAUAACUAAAUUUAAUCAUGUCGGGAUCUAACCCCUCCCAAUCUUCAUGGCUAUUUCCUAAGUCAAAGCCAAUACUUAUUAAGGUUUUAGGCUUUCAAGUGGGCCUCAAGACUUCCUGAAUUUUUUUCAAUCUAAAAAAUAUAAAAAUUAUGAACUAUUAAAAGAAUACUACACAUGUGAGAAAUCCAUAGAAAAUUAGAAAUUGUGCCUGAGAUCAAGAAUUCGAAGAGAUCAAGAAAGGAAAGGAGAGA
rnacentral:lncRNA from 1 species